GAUUAAAUGGCUGAGAUUUAGGCGUUAGAUUGUAAAUUUAAUAACGGGUUGUUAAACUCUUUGAUCA
rnacentral:tRNA from 1 species